UAGGGAAUCUUCCGCAAUGGGCGAAAGCCUGACGGAGCAACGCCGCGUGAGUGAUGAAGGUCUUCGGAUCGUAAAACUCUGUUAUCAGGGAAGAACAAAUGUGUAAGUAACUAUGCACGUCUUGACGGUACCUAAUCAGAAAGCCACGGCUAACUACGUGCCAGCAGCCGCGGUAAUACGUAGGUGGCAAGCGUUAUCCGGAAUUAUUGGGCGUAAAGCGCGCGUAGGCGGUUUUUUAAGUCUGAUGUGAAAGCCCACGGCUCAACCGUGGAGGGUCAUUGGAAGCUGGAAAACUUGAGUGCAGAAGAGGAAAGUGGAAUUCCAUGUGUAGCGGUGAAAUGCGCAGAGAUAUGGAGGAACACCAGUGGCGAAGGCGACUUUCUGGUCUGUAACUGACGCUGAUGUGCGAAAGCGUGGGGAUCAAACAGG
rnacentral:rRNA from 1 species